AGAGUUUUGAUCCUGGCUCAGGAUGAACGCUGGCGGCGUGCCUAACACAUGCAAGUCGAACGGGCUCGGAUUGAAACCUAGUGAUUUCCGAGUUAGUGGCGGACGGGUGAGUAACGCGUGGAUAACCUGCCGUAUGCAGGGGGAUAACAGUUGGAAACAGCUGCUAAUACCGCAUAAGCGCACAGUACCGCAUGGUACGGUGUGAAAAGAUUUAUCGGCAUACGAUGGAUCCGCGUCUGAUUAGCCAGUUGGCGGGGUAACGGCCCACCAAAGCGACGAUCGGUAGCCGGCCUGAGAGGGCGGACGGCCACAUUGGGACUGAGACACGGCCCAAACUCCUACGGGAGGCAGCAGUGGGGAAUAUUGCACAAUGGGGGAAACCCUGAUGCAGCGACGCCGCGUGAGUGAAGAAGUAUUUCGGUAUGUAAAGCGCUAUCAGCAGGGAAGAAAAUGACGGUACCUGACUAAGAAGCCCCGGCUAACUACGUG
rnacentral:rRNA from 1 species